AAACCAAUAAAGUUUUCUUUAUUGGGGUUGCGGACAUAUCAUAACGAAGAGGUAUCGUAAUUGAAGAGGUUUGGAAAGACCCACCACAGAAGGUAAUAGUCCUGUAUGUUAAACGAGAAAACUUUAGGUAUGAUCCAGAGUACCACGGGACACGUGAAACCCUGUGGGAAGCAGGAGGGACCACCCUCCAAGGCUAAAUACUACCUAGUGACCGAUAGCGUAUAGUACCGUGAGGGAAAGGUGAAAA
rnacentral:rRNA from 1 species